rnacentral:rRNA from 1 species
UGAACGCUAGCUACAGGCUUAACACAUGCAAGUCGGGGGGCAGCAUUUUAGUUUGCUUGCAAACUGAAGAUGGCGACCGGCGCACGGGUGAGUAACACGUAUCCAACCUGCCGAUAACUCCGGAAUAGCCUUUCGAAAGAAAGAUUAAUACCGGAUAGCAUACGAAUAUCGCAUGAUAUUUUUAUUAAAGAAUUUCGGUUAUCGAUGGGGAUGCGUUCCAUUAGUUUGUUGGCGGGGUAACGGCCCACCAAGACAACGAUGGAUAGGGGUUCUGAGAGGAAGGUCCCCCACAUUGGAACUGAGACACGGUCCAAACUCCUACGGGAGGCAGCAGUGAGGAAUAUUGGUCAAUGGGCGAGAGCCUGAACCAGCCAAGUAGCGUGAAGGAUGAAGGCUCUAUGGGUCGUAAACUUCUUUUAUAUGGGAAUAAAGUUUUCCACGUGUGGAAUUUUGUAUGUACCAUAUGAAUAAGGAUCGGCUAACUCCGUGCCAGCAGCCGCGGUAAUACGGAGGAUCCGAGCGUUAUCCGGAUUUAUUGGGUUUAAAGGGAGCGUAGGUGGAUUGUUAAGUCAGUUGUGAAAGUUUGCGGCUCAACCGUAAAAUUGCAGUUGAAACUGGCAGUCUUGAGUACAGUAGAGGUGGGCGGAAUUCGUGGUGUAGCGGUGAAAUGCUUAGAUAUCACGAAGAACUCCGAUUGCGAAGGCAGCUCACUAGACUGUCACUGACACUGAUGCUCGAAAGUGUGGGUAUCAAACAGGAUUAGAUACCCUGGUAGUCCACACAGUAAACGAUGAAUACUCGCUGUUUGCGAUAUACAGUAAGCGGCCAAGCGAAAGCAUUAAGUAUUCCACCUGGGGAGUACGCCGGCAACGGUGAAACUCAAAGGAAUUGACGGGGGCCCGCACAAGCGGAGGAACAUGUGGUUUAAUUCGAUGAUACGCGAGGAACCUUACCCGGGCUUAAAUUGCAACAGAAUAUAUUGGAAACAGUAUAGCCGUAAGGCUGUUGUGAAGGUGCUGCAUGGUUGUCGUCAGCUCGUGCCGUGAGGUGUCGGCUUAAGUGCCAUAACGAGCGCAACCCUUAUCUUUAGUUACUAACAGGUGAUGCUGAGGACUCUAGAGAGACUGCCGUCGUAAGAUGUGAGGAAGGUGGGGAUGACGUCAAAUCAGCACGGCCCUUACGUCCGGGGCUACACACGUGUUACAAUGGGGGGUACAGAAGGCGGCUACCUGGUGACAGGAUGCUAAUCCCAAAAACCUCUCUCAGUUCGGAUCGAAGUCUGCAACCCGACUUCGUGAAGCUGGAUUCGCUAGUAAUCGCGCAUCAGCCAUGGCGCGGUGAAUACGUUCCCGGGCCUUGUACACACCGCCCGUCAAGCCAUGAAAGCCGGGGGUACCUGAAGUACGUAACCGCAAGGAGCGUCCUAGGGUAAAACUGGUAAUUGGGGCUA